rnacentral:rRNA from 1 species
UGAACUAUGCCUGAGUAGGAUGAAGCCGGAGGAAACUCUGGUGGAGGUCCGAAGCGUUUUUGACGUGCAAAUCAAUCGUCAGACUUGGGUAUAGGGGCGAAAGACUAAUCGAACCAUCUAGUAGCUGGUUCCCUUCGAAGUUUCCCCCAGGAAAGCUGGUGCCAUGUUUGACAGUUUUAUCUGGUAAAGCGAAUGAUUAGAGGCAUUGGGGACGAAUUGUCCUCGACCUAUUCUCAAACUUUAAAUGGGUAAUGUACCGUUGUACUUCUUGAUAUUCAUGAGUGCUCGGUCAAAUGCAAUGGCGCCAAGUGGGCCAUUUUUGGUAAGCAGAACUGGCGAUGUGGGAUGAACCAAACGUUGAGCUAGGAUGCCCAAAGUGCUUCUCAUGAGAUACCAUGAAAGGUGUCAGUCGAUAUUGACAGCAGGACGGUGGCCGCAGAAGUAGGAAUCCGCUAAGGAGUGUGUAACAACUCACCUGCCGAAUCGACUGGUCCUGAAAAUGGAUGGCGCUGGAGACGUAUAUCCAUGCUCGACCGUCAAUGCCAACGAAAGCGAUUGCUAUAUGGCUUGACGUGUAGAAGGGCGAUUGCCGUGGCGUCGAAACUUGCACCGUGAGGUGGGGUAGAGCUGCGGCAUGUGCAGAUCUUGGUGGUAGUAGCAAGUAUUCAAAUGAGAGCAUUGAAGACUGAAGUGGAGUAAGGUUCCAUGUGAACAGCAUUUGGACAUGGAUCAGCCGAUCCUAAGAGAACGUGUAAGUUCGUGAUUAAGCGCGUCGCCUUGUGCGUCGCAAUCGAAAGGGAAUCGGGUUAAUAUUCCCGAGCCAGGAUACGGAAUGAGCCUGAUUAAUCGAAAGUACCUUGUGUGCUUUUGACUUCAGGCAAAAGCGGCAACGCCAACAAACCCAGAGAUUAACUAUGCGAAGUCCGGGGAAGAGUUUUCUCUUCUUUGUAAGGGAUGUUAUCCCUGGAAACAGAUUGUCUGGCGAUAGGGUACGCAUCCCGUAAUGCAACGCGAUUCCUGCGAUGUACCGUGCGCUUCGUAUAGUGCUUGAAAAUCUGGGAGCGAGUUUGUUCAGGCCGUACCUGUUCGUACUGAUUUCCGCAGCAGGUCUCCAAGGUGAGCAGCCUCUAGUCGAUGGGACAAAGUAGACAAGGGAAGUCGGCAAAUUAGAUCCGUAACUUCGGAAAAAGGAUUGGCUCUAAAGGCUGAGUUGGUCGGGCGGUUGUGUUAAGCUGGGAGCGAUGCUUUGACUCUGUCUCAGACUCCAUACUCGCAAGGGAUAUGUAAUCGGCGGCGGAGCUUAGUAUUUGCUCACUGUGGACCGCGGUCGCUAUGCCACCCAUGCGGUGUCAAAAUUCAUUUUCGAGCCGUGCGGUGUGGAUCCGAUCAGCGUUUAACAGCUGACCUAGAACUGGUAUGGACAAGGGGAAUCCAACUGUUUAAUUAAAACAAAGCAUUGCGAUAGCUGUAAUCGGUGUUGACGCGAUGUGAUUUCUGCCCAGUGCUCUGAAUGUUAAAGUGAAGGAACUCAUUAAAGCGCGAGUUAACGGCGGAAGUAACUAUGACUUUCUUAAGGUAGCCAAAUGCCUCGUCAUCUAAUUAGUGACGUGCAUGAAUGGAUUAUUGAGAUUCCUUCUGUCCCUGUCUGCAACCUAGCGAAACCACAGCCAAGGGAACGGGCUUGGAGAGUAACAGCGGGGAAAGAAGACCCUGUUGAGCUUGACUCUAGUCAGUCUUUGUGAAGAAACAUGAUGGGUGUAGAAUAGGUGGGAGGACGCGACAGUGAAAUACCACUACUAUCAUCGUUUCUUUACUUACUCAAUUGAUCAGGGAGCGUGAAUUCGCUAUUUGCGAUGUAUGAUUAUUCCUUCAGUGGAAUAAGUGUCUGGUUUGAGAACACAGACUGAUUGGGAGUUUGACUGGGGCGGUACAUCUGUUAAAAUCUAACGCAGGUGUCCUAAGGCAAUCUCAGCGUGGACAGAAACCUCGCAUAGAGCGAAAGGGCAAAAGAUUGCUUGAUCUUGAUUUUCAGUACGAAUAAAGACAAUGAAAGUUUGGCUUGUCGAUCCUUUUGAAUUUUACGAGUUUUAAGCAAGAGGUGUCAGAAAAGUUACCACAGGGAUAACUGGCU